rnacentral:lncRNA from 1 species
UAUGAAGAGAAUUGCUGGCGGAUUUUAUUGAAGAAUUGAUUGUGGGAUUAUUGUGAUUAUAAAGAGAAGUAAAGAGGGAAAAGAGAAGACAAAACCGUUGAAGUUAAAGAGCUUGUUUCAUGUCAUUCAUAGCCAUUUAACACCAACUUACCUCACCAUUAUUUCUUUUCCAUUAACUCUCCACCAUCAACACAUGUUUAAUCAAAUUAAUCCCUCAC